rnacentral:rRNA from 1 species
GCCUAGCGCUAACGNGAAGGAUAGGGCCCCAAGGAGUGAACGGUAACUGGGGUG